rnacentral:misc_RNA from 1 species
GAUGAAGAACGUAGCGAAAUGCGAUACUUGGUGUGAAUUGCAGAAUCCCGCGAAUCAUCGAGUUUUUGAACGCAAGUUGCGCCCGAAGCCAUUCGGCCGAGGGCACGUCUGCCUGGGUGUCACGCAUCGUUGCCCCCCCAAACUCCGGUUCGGGCGGGGCGGAAGUUGGCCUCCCGUGCGUGCCUGCGCGCGCGGUUAGCCCAAAAGCGAGUCCUCGGCGACGAGCGCCACGACAAUCGGUGGUUUUUUUACCCUCGUUCCUCGUCGUGCGUGCCCCGUCGCCCGAACGCGCUCUUGCGACCCUUACGCGUCGCCUCGGCGGCGCUCCCAACGCGACCCCAGGUCAGGCGGGACUACCCGCUGAGUUUAAGCAUAUCAAAAGCGGAGGA